ensembl:processed_transcript 2210408F21Rik RIKEN cDNA 2210408F21 gene
GUAGCGAAGGGCUGGAGGCAAACACCGAGCUCCCCCUGAGCCGCCUGGGAGCAGGGAGGGUUCUGCUACCCUGAGGGGCCCUCCCCGCGGGGCAGAGGGGACCAGCCCAACAUGGCUUCCAACACAGAGACCAGAAGGACCCAAUAAGAGACCGAAGACACGACUGAUAAUACAGAAAGGAGGGUGAUGCUGUGUGCAAGGCAGAUACAAGAUGGUUUUUCCAUAAGAGGAAGUGAUCAUGGCAACCAUGACCUUCUCUGACCUUCUCUCUUCCAAGAGGCUGUUGGGAAGGUGGGAUGACCUAGGAUUGACCUUGGACUUGACAUCACAGAAGCCAUUUCAACCUUCACAGGUGGGAGGAAGUCACAGCAUCUACUUCUGAAUCUGUGCUUGCCUUGAGGAAAAACGGCAUGGCACAGGAAUGUGGACGCUUUCAACCAGAGGAUUCUGUACGACGGUGUCGGCACACAAGGAGUGUUCCA